CAGGAAGUCAGGUGCAGCUGUUCUGCUGGUCUCUCAUGAUGACAACUGUUGAUUACACCUAAGGCGCUGUGUGGAACACCUGGGCUAGAAGCUGCACCCGUGGAAAGCUCACACCAAAAAUCCACAUGGCUGGGCACUGACAGAAAUUCCUUGAUAAGCCACUGGACUGGAUAGAGAGACUCUGAAGGCAAAGUUUUCAGCUGGACCCCCGCUGGCGGAAAAGGAAAAAUUUUAACUCUUGCUCUGGAGAAGAGAAAGGAGGAAAGAACUGGAAAGAAGACAAAAAAUAGAGAAAAAGAAGGGGGAAGACAGGGCGCCAGUAAGAGGGUUCUGGAUCCCUUACCCCCAAUUCCAAAAAUCCAAACAACCGAAGUUCUUAUCACUCACCUGGAGGCAAGCGCUGGACUAAAGUGAGAUGAG